GACUGGGGUGGUACACCUGUCAAACGGUAACGCAGGUCUCCUAAGGCGAGCUCAGGGAGGACAGAAACUUCUCGUGGAGCAGAAGGGUAAAAGCUCGCUUGAUCUUGAUUUUCAGUAUGAAUACAGACCGUAAAAGCGGAG
rnacentral:ncRNA from 1 species